GCUCCAGUGGUCUAGUGGUUUGAACGUCCACCUCGGAUCCGGGAGGUCGCGGGUUCGAGCCCUGGCUGAAUCA